AACCCGAAAAGGCAACUCCUGAGCAAUCAGGACACGCAAAGUUCCAGUCCGCCAGCGCUUUUUGGCGGAGGCUGAGCUGCCGAU
rnacentral:ncRNA from 1 species